AUUGAACGCUGGCGGCAGGCCUAACACAUGCAAGUCGAGCGCGCGUCGGACGGGUGAGUAAUGUAUGGGGACUCCCCGCUAUAGCGGGAUACCUACUGGAAACGGUGGAUCAUACCCCAUACUAUCGGAUAACCCAUAUGGGAUUAGCUAGUAGGUGAGGUAAUGGCUCACCGAGGCGACGAUCCCUAGCGGGUCUGAGAGGAUGAUCAGCCACACUGGGACUGAGACACGGCCCAGACGCCUACGGAGGCAGCAGUGGGGAAUAGUGCACAAUGGGCGCAAGCCUGAUGCAGCCAUGCCGCGUGUAUGAAGAAGGCCCUAGGGUUGUAAAGUACUUUCAGUCGGGAGGCGUUACCGACAGAAGAAGCACCGGCUAACUCCGUGCCAGCAGCCGCGGUAAUAC
rnacentral:rRNA from 1 species